AUUUAUCUCUCACUACGCGAUCUCUCUCUCUCUGCUCCUAUCUCUCAACAAAGAGUUGGCCUUCUUCUCCCUUUCUAACCUCGCCACCCAUCUUCCUAUAGAUCCACUGUCACCGCCUUCCAAUCAAUCCGCCACUGCUCUCGCCUUCAAGACAGUGCCACAACGCCCUCACCCCCGCCCUCGCCUUUCGACAGCGCCACAGCCACCUUUCGACACCUCCGCCUAAUAGAAGAGAUGCCUGACAAUGUCGUGUCGUUGCCCUCGCCUUCCGACAGCGCUGUCACUAAGUAGAAGAGAUGCCUGAUAGCUUCGUACUGUCGCCCUCACCUUCCGACAGUUUCGUCGAGUAAAAGAGACGCCCGACAGCAUCGUGUCGCUACCCUCACCUUCAGAUAGCGUCGCUGCUGCUGCCUCGAGCGAGCAACAAUGGAAAUCUCUUCUUCUCAUGAGGUCAUCCUAUCCGGGACCAUCUCCUCGAGCGAGCAAUAAUUGGCAAUAACAGUGCCUCUAGUUGAGAAGAAUUGUCCAAUGGAGAAAAUUCAAAUUAUAUAGUGAUGAUGUUAUUCCAUGAAGGGAAGGAGUUUCCAAUGGACAACGAUGCACACAACUACUACAAUACAUAUGCAAAAAAGAUUGGGUUUGGAAUUCACAAAGAUACUUUUUAAAAAAAUCAAAGAAAGCUUCAAGAGAGAUUCUUUCGAGGACUUUUGUCUACGAUAAAGUGGAGAGAAAGAAAGCAUCGACUAAAAAUACAAGUGGAUCAAUUAUCAAUUAUCGUCCGGAAACUAAAGUUGGUUGUGGUGCAAAAAUGAAGAUUAGGCACAUCUUCACUUGGAUGGUUACUAAGUUCAAUUCUGAGCAUGUUCAUCCUUUAACAAGCCUCGACAAAGUAAUAUAUCAUCAUUCUCACAAGCAGUGACAUCGAUCGAAGCCUCGUAUUGGUCUCAUUGAGUUGUUGCAUGAAGAGUGAAUAAAACCGUCUAAUAUUAAAAAGCUGCUUUAUGUUGGAUACUAGGGAUAAGAUGAUGAACCACACAACAUAUGAUUGGUCAUAUCAGAAAGAUAAUGCAAAAUAACAUUGGCUGUGAAUGCUUAAACAUCAUUAGUCAUUUCCAAGAUAGAAAGGAGUAGGAUCCAAAUUUCUAUUUUGCUAUGGAGAUCGAUCACCUUGGUACACUGAGAAGUGUGUUUUGGGCCAAUGGUAGAGCUAGAGAUUCUUAUUUAAGUCUUGGAGAUGUGGUGAUGUUUGAUACCACAUACAAGACUAAUCAGUUAAGUAUGUCAUUUGCUCCAUUUACAGGGGUAAACCACCACCGCCAAUCCACCCUCUUCGGUUGUGCAUUGCUUGCAAACGAGUGAGAGGAAAACUUCAAGUGGUUGUUUUCUUAAUGGCUCAAGUGUAUGCAUGGGGUUGCACCAAAGGCUAUCAUAUCUGAUCAGGAUGCACAGAUGAGAAGGUGGCUUUGAAGAACCGGAAGAGCAAAAAGAGAAGAAGCAAAAGAGAUAGAUUGUGAGAUAGUUUACAAAGUAUUUUGGAGCCCAAGAGUAAGAGGUGUUAGAUGAUAUGGUUGUUUUAUUGACCAAUUUGGUUGUUUAUUGACUAAUUUGGUUAUAUGGACUUGUUGAUGUAAGUGAACUUUGAUGAUGUAUGAACUUGUUGAUGUUGUUCGGUUUUAAAUUAUUGGUAAGUUGUGUAGUUUUAUUGUUGUAAGGACUUAUUGACUAACUAUGAUUGUAUUGAAGUUUUUGUAUGUUGUGGUUGUAUGGACUAAUU